CACCCUCACUCAGGACACACGGACCAAGAGCAGGAAUGCUUAUGAUUGCACAAUGACCUGUCGAGGUAAAAGUGCGAUGCAAACCUAGGUCUGGUGACACCUAUCCGACCAAAACCCGAGAACUAGGACUUUCUCGAUUAAACAAAGAGGGUUUGUUUCCUUUGGCGGGGGGGUGGGGUAGGGGUGGAUGGGGGGGCGUCCAAGGGCUAGGUGUCCGAGCUUUGCAAUGAAAAACUGAUGCAUGAACCAGAUACCAAAUUACAAAUUUCACACUGCACAGUCUGAGUGUGAAAGGUCCUCCUUGAAUCCCCAGACAAGCUCCCAUCUUGUGAUCUGGACACCUUUUAUUGUCAGGGCACCUGGGACCACCUUAAGCCCCUUAGGUCACUGGAUAAUUUCCACUUUCAUGGGAGAAUUUUAAUCCAAGCCUAGAGAUGGAAAUUUUGCUCUGCUCCACCUUUAGAAAGAGCCUGUUAAAGCAGUCUUCUCUUUUAUAGCUCCUUAUUUGUUACUAACGGUUUCUCCACAAUUGCUAUUAUAGUUGAUCACCCAUUUGUUAUGUGUCCGGAUGUGCAUAUAGACUAUUGUUGAGCCUCAUUUUCAAACUAUCAUUUUAAUGUGGGAUAUUCCCUGGGGGAGAAUCCAGAGAGGGCAACAGUAGUAUUUAGGUUGAUUUUUGUUGGCAUCAUUUUCUAAAGAUGCAGAUCCCUGUGUACUGACCGCAUCCCAGAAACAGGAAACAAGACCACAUGUUUAGAAAAACACACAGAGGCCAAGGGAGAACACAUGUACUGGCAGGUUGGGGGAGGGGGGUGGAGUCUGCCAAAUUUCAUCCAUCUUGAGUCUCUGCAUAAUCCACAGUUAGGGACCCCUCCCUUACCUGCUUUCCCACUGCAUGGCUCUCUGCUCUGAGACAAUCAUUUCACAAUCUAUUGUGGAGUCUAGGAUGGCACCCUGGAGCCUGUGUUUUUAACAAUCCCCCAACUUCUCCAGGUGAGUUCAGUGCUUUAAGCCAUGGGAAGCCAUAAAAGGUGGUGACAUGAUUAAGUUCAUAUCUUCAAAGGUCACCCUGACAACAGCCUGAUGACUCAACUGGAUGGGGCUGUUCUGGAGGCCCGUGGAACGUGCUGGGGAAGAAAUGGUGAGGGUCUAAACUAGGAGAGUGGCUGUGAAGAGGGGGUGAGGUGGGAGGAAGGGAAUGAUUCACCAGAGAGUAUUUAGGAGGUAGACUUGAGGUAAUGUGGUAAUUGGUUGAAUAUGCAGAGCAAGGGAAAAGAAGGAAUUAAAGUUUUAGCUUGGGAGGUUGAAAACUCGGUGGCUUCAAACAAGGAACAUUUAUUAUCUCACAGUUUCUGUGGAUCAAGAUUUCAAGAGCAUCUUAGCUGGGUUGUUCUGUCUCAGUAUUUCACAUGAGACUGGUGAGCAUGUCAGCUGGGGCUUGGUUAGGGGCUGAGGGAUCCAUUUCUACAAUGUCUCACUCAUAUGGCCGUCGGCCAGAGGCCUCAGUUCCUCACCAUAUUGGCCUCUCCAUAGUGCUGCUUGGAUGUCUUUGAGAUGUGGUAGUGAAUGAUCCAAGAGAGUGGAAGGAAGAAGUCAUGAUGCAUUUGCUGACUUAGCCUCAGGUGUCACAUUCCAUCACUUCCACAGUAUCCUAUUCUUACACUGGUCAGCUCUAUUCCAUGUGAGAGGGGACUACAUGAAAACACCAGGUAGUAGGGAUCAUUGGUGGUCAUCUUGGAGGCUGGCUACCACAGUGGAUAAAAAAACCAUCGAAGCAUUAGGAGAAAACAGGUAAAUUCCUCUAUAGUCUUUGACUCAAAAUCUAGAAGCAUAAGGGAAAAGAUUGAUCAAUUUGACACACUGUGCAUAUUUAUAACUUUAUUAUGACAGAAGACACCAUAAGAAAGUCCAAGAUAUAAUAAACUGAGAAAAUAUCUCUAAUGCCUAUCACAAAGGACUGAGAAGAAAAAACCUCCAAUUGUGUAGAAAAUGGGCAAGAGAUAUGGAAAGACAGUUGGUUGUGAUUUAUGUAAGGUCACACGUGCAGCAAGUGUUGUUUGGAAUCUGUCUCCAGACCUGUUGGCGUGUCCUCCAAGUGUCCUGCUCCGCCCUGUUCUGCCAGGGGCACAGUGCCAGCUACUCCAGGCCUGACAUGGAAAAAGAAAGGAAGAGAAUGCGGGGGCUAGCCAUGGAGAGAUGACUUCAGCUUGGAGAAUCCACUGUAGCAGGAGAGUUUGUUCAGCCUGCCUAGAAACGAAGGCACGUCACUGCAGUUAAAUGGAAUUCACCUAUGAAUGACCAGCAACAUCCAGUGCACCAAGAAUCAUCACAUAAAAACGAUUUCUCAAAAGGUUUUUUGAAAAGGGUUUAAAAAAGGUGCACAAUAUGUUUUCUCAAAAAUGCAUAGAUUCCACUUAGGUGACAUUCUGGAAAAGGCAACACCGUAGGGACAGAAAUCAGAUCAGUGGUUGCCAGAUCCUGGGGUGAGAGGAAAGGAUCGCCUACAGAGGACAUGGGGGAACUCUUGGGUGGUGAUGAAAACAUUCUAGAUUGCAGCGGUGGAUACAUGGUUGUACAUAUCUGUCAAAACUCAAAACUGCACACCUAAGAAGGGUGAAUGUUACUGUAUUUAAAUUAUACCUCAAUAAGUCUGACUUUAAAAAUGUACAGAUUCCAACUUCUAGAUCAACCUGAAUUUCCCUCUGUAACCUUGACCUUUUUAUUACAUACCUUCUUUCGUUGACAAGUUUA